CGGGUGUAGUUCAGGGGUAGAACGUCAGCUUCCCAAGCUGGAUGUCGUCGGUUCGAAUCCGAUCACCC
rnacentral:tRNA from 1 species